UACGUAGGCAGCGAGCGUUGUUCGGAGUUACUGGGCGUAAAGGGUGUGUAGGCGGUUGUUUAAGUUUGGUGUGAAAUCUCCCGGCUCAACUGGGAGGGUGCGCCGAAUACUGAGCGACUAGAGUGCGGGAGAGGAAAGUGGAAUUCCUGGUGUAGCGGUGAAAUGCGUAGAUAUCGGGAGGAACACCUGUGGCGAAAGCGGCGCACUGGACCAUAACUGACGCUGAUGCGCGAAAGCGUGGGGGAGCAAAC
rnacentral:rRNA from 1 species